AGAAGAAGAAGAAGAAGAAGAAGAAGAAGAAGAAGGUCUUUAUAACCAGUCUGGUUGAGGAUGAAUCGCCAGUCGUCAGCCUAACCUCCCCUUCCCGACCCCUCCACGGAUUCUUCGAAGAUUCAAGCUCCAAAAAUGAUUAUAGACUGAAGACUGUCUAAUGCAGUAGAGGAGCAUGUUGGUGUCUCUGGCCAAACUUCACAAACAGCCCAACAACCCGAAGACAGUCUGUUAAUGAGUGGACAUCUCUCUGGUGGAGUGCAGGGAGGAACUGUCUCUUAUCAACAGAAACAUAAACUGGGUAAAAAAUGAUG